CUGGAGUUUGUGCCAGACACAAUGUCUGGCUUGCAGAUUGCAAUCCCAGGGAAGUAUCCAUCCCCAGGGAAGUUUCCAUCACUACAAAGGAAUCAAGGAGGAAGUCAAUCCCUGAGACAGGGUUUCACCAUGUUUGCCAGGCUGGCCUCGAACUCCUGCCGUCAAGUGAUCUGCCUGCCUCGGCCUCCCAAAGUACUGUGAUUACGAGGUGAGCCACCAUGCUCGGCCUGGAAGCGUCAUUUCUCAAACACAUUUCUAAAAUGUUUAAACUGUCAAGUGUCAUCUAUGUUCAAAAGGGCAACAGAAAAAAACAACUGAAUGUGCCUUCUGAUAAGCUGCUUUAUCUAGGGAUGCUCUAUUCUAUCCUGUUUCCUUCCUAGGUUAUUGAUCUAAGCCUUUGCUAAAACCAACUUCAUUUUGCCCUAUUCUGAAUAGAUUUCACUCUGUUGCCUUUGCGCUUUUCUUCCAAAAUUUAAAAUACACUUUUUUCUUUUGAAAUCAUUGUGUAAUUCUCCAGAGCACUCCCAAGGGUAAGUGUAGGGGACCCGGUCUUUCUGCUUUCAUUUUAAAUCCCAAAUUCCUUACCAUAGAAUAUCUGCCUCCUUAUAACCCAGUACUCUUCAUUUUCUCUUUCCAUUUUGUUCAGAAAGGAAUCUCCAGAGCAUGAAUAUUAUGUUUGUUUGUUUGUUUAUUUGAUUGAGACAGGGUCUGGCCUCAUCACACAGGCAGAAGUCCAGUGGUGGGGACAUGGAGCAAUGUUCACACCUGCAGUCUGAACCUCCUGGCCUCAAACAGUCAACUCAUCUGCCCACCUCAGCCUUCUGAGUACCUGGCAUGCCCCACACCUGGCCAAUUUUUUUUAAAUUUGUAGAUAUGGGGUCUUGCAAUGUUGCCCAGACUGGUCUCGAACUCCUAGGGUCAAGUGAUAUUCCCAUCUCAGCCUCCCAAAGCACUGAGAUUACAGGUGUGAGCCACCGUGCCUGGCUGAAUAUGUAAAACAUCACUAAAUUUAAAAUAGUGAAGUUGAAAUAUUAGUGGAGGGAGACUAUUACACAUGAACCGCCACAGAAUAUGUUGCUAGUUUUCUAUGCCACUUAGGUUUUCUUUCUGUUUCUAUUGAAACAAACACCCUCAAAAAGUGUCUGAUUUCAUUUUCUGUACGUGUGCCCUGUUAGACUCAGCAUUAGAAAAGAAAGGGGCAAGAGUGAAUAACCAAUCUAUUAUCCUAAUGUAACAGAUGAGGGAAUAGAUUUUGUGAGAGAACAAAAGAGUCCUGUAAAGUCACACAGCUAGUAACUGUCAAAGCCAAAACUGAAAUGAGGUCUCUAGAUUUCUACUUGAAUACGUUCCCUGUUAUUCCAAGCUGUUUGGGACUAUAGGGGUAAAGAAAUCUAAAGUUGGGGGAAAGAAGUCAAAUGAAAAACUGUCAAGAAAGGUUCUCUCUUUACCUGACAUGGUCAGAGAAGAAGAAACAUCAACUGUAGAUUCAAGGGAUGAAGAGACGAUCCUAGUGGAUGUCUGGGUGGCUGAAGCCAAGGAGUGAAUGUGUCCAGUAUGGAGGCCACCGGUCACACUGGUCACUGGCCACCUGCGAUGAUACAAAUUUAUAGGCUACCCCAAGAUUCUACCAGCUGGCAAUAGGCUUGGUGAGAGAAUGAUGUCACAGAGCAGGCAGUUUAAAGGUGUGCAAUAGCCAAUAGGGAGGCCAGAUUCUCAGGAAGAUGGGAUUGGCUGGCAGAGGUGGUAGGAAAGCUGAAACAGUACCAAGUGGCUGAGUUCCAGGGAGGUGACAUCCUGCAAGAUCAUCUCGGUGUUUCUUAUACAUGUUCACUUAUAUUAUUGACUAGUAUUUGUAUUUUAUAUGUCAUAUUUCAUAGUACAUAAUACUGUACAUUGAUAAUUGUAUAGUACGUACAAAGUACCCUGCAGAGAAAGGAAAGGGACAUCUCAGCUGAGCAGUUACAGUUGUUCUAAAAGCAUUUCAGUGAAUCUGAUUAAAGAAUUUACUGCUGCUUUUAAGGGCCAGAUGAAGAGAUUAAAGAGCCUUCUUUUGUACCUUGACUGAAGAGCUAACUUCAUUGACUGCCCCUGAGCUACUAUAGGGCAUGCUGUUUCUUUGCUGUUCCACUUGUAGCAGAAUUCAACGUUCUUCUAACAGGUACAGAUCUUUGUGCUUGAGACUGUGUGGAAACCUUGGACUUGAGCUCCACUUUUGGUUAUUUUUGGUAUUUGCUAAAACCUAACUACAUUCUUUCCACUUCUAGCAUGAUACCUGCUAUGUGAUAGAACCCAGUAAAAGUUUAGCUGUGAUGGGAGUGGAUGUUUGUGCAUUAUUUUUGGAGGAUAAUUAGGUAGUAUCUUUCAGAAUUUUAAGUUUGUAUGUUUUCUAUUCUAGACAUUCUACUUCUAGGAAUUUAGAUAUAGCUGUAUAUGUGUAUAAGGAUGUUCACAUUGCAGCAUUUUCUGUAACAAGAUUUCAAAAGAACCUGAAAACAACAAAAGGUCCAUUAACAUUGAACUGGCUGAAUACAUUAUGGUACUUUUAAUUACGUUACUCGUAAUCCAAUAAAUUCCCUAUGACCACUAAAAAAUAGAAUGUAAGUAUGUAUAAAUUGACUAGGAAAAUCAGUGUUCGAGAUACAGUGUAGAAUAUGUUUAGUCGCUCCUUUAGUAUAAAAAUAGAGGACAUACAUAUGUGUGAAAGUAAAUAUUUAUACACAAUGUGCAAAAUGUGAGUGUAAGCACUUGUAAAUAUCUAGAACACACCAGGACUGGGAGGGGUGCUCGGGGGAGGUACAGGGCAGGGACAGAGGGACUUCCCUGUGCCACACUGAAUUCUGAAGGGUGCAUACACGCCCUCAUUCACCUGUGGUAACCGGCCUCUGGCUAAAGAGGGCGCUGUAACCACCAAAGUCUUCUGUACAAAUCAAGCCUCUCAGUAAGUCUACGCAGUUACGCCAUCAGGACUAACAUGGCUAAUAGUGUGAUGCCCGAGCUCUGCGUGGGUGGCUUCCAAGUCUCUUUAGGUCUGGGGUCUUAUCCUGGCACUGAGGGUGCCGGACUGGCGCUUUUGGCCAGCUUGGCAUUGGGUGGGCGGCUUUUGGAACCCACAGGAGCCAAUGGCACCAUCCUCGCUGUGGUUGGGGUCAGGGACGCGACUUUCCUGGACGCUCCUGGUCCAAGAAGAAGAGCGGAAACCACAUCCCCAAAAGGUAAUAUGUCUUGGGCCCUUGGCAUGGCCUUUCCAGCUCAUGGCUUCUGGGUAUGGGCUUCAUCUUUUGUGGUCUCUGCGUCUCACUUUUGCUGUCACAAGCUUGGCUUGUCCACCCCUUGCUUUGAGGCUUUGACCCUCUUCGCCACCUGCUGAAAGGGGCAAUGUCUGUGAUGUCCUGUCAUUUCUCCUUAUUCUUGUAAAAGCGAGGUUCUGGCCAGUGCUCUUCAGUGAAAUACGGAAGAAUUGCUUUAAGGCAGGACUGUUACUUUUGGGGACACUCCUUAAUUCCCAAAAUAGAACCUCCUCAAUUCCUUGUUACUUGGCACGGAUAGUAUAAUGAUUUGGGUUAGGAACCCAGCUGUAGUAGUGCCCUGAGAUCUUACAUAGAAAGUUCGUUUGUAUUGUUUUCAGAAAUCACAAAGGGCAUACGCUGUUAGGUCCUAACAGGCCUCAUUUGAGAGAUGUUCCUUUAUACGUAGAAAUGAUUAAUUUUGAGACUUUGCACGUAUGUGCAGAGAACUGUUUUUACUCCUUGAGACCAUCCUCCACCAUCUCAUACCUCAGUAAAUCCUCUACAUAUUAUGUCCUAUCUUUUGACUGUCACCUUCUGUCAGCCCCCUAAUACAGGUCUUGCCUGACCUGUUUCAAUUGGGUUCUAAUUACUGCAUCUCCUGUUUGUUUUCUUAUGGUCCAUUGUGGUUUUUGUUUGUUUGUUUUUUGAGACAGAGUUUUGCUCUUGUCCCUCAGGCUGGAUUGCAAUGGCCUGAUCUCUGCUCACCCCAAGCUCCACCUCCCCAGUUCAAGCAAUUUUCCUGUCUCAGACUCCCAAGUUCAUGGGAUAAUAGUUGUCCGCCACCACACCCAGCUAACUUUUUUGUAUUUUUAGUGGAGAUGGUGUUUCACCAUGUGGGUCAGGCCUGUCUAGAACUCCUGACCUCGGCUGAUCCACCCCUGUGGGCCUCCCAAAGUGCUGACAUUACAGGUGUGAGUCACUGUACCUUGCCCAAACUGUUCUUAACAACAAUAACAAAUCUUUUUUUUUUUUUUUUUUUUUUUGAGACAGGGUCUUGCUGUGUCACCAAAGCUAGAGUGCAGUGGCAAAAUCAUAGCUCACUGCAACUCAGCCUCCCAGACUUUUUUGAUCCUUCCACCUCAGCCUUCCUGGUUAGCUGAGUCUACAGGCGUGCACCACCAUGCCCAGCUAAUUUUUAUAUUUUGUAUUUUUUUUUUUUUGUAAAGGUGGGGUUUUGCCAUGUUGCCUAGGCUGUUCUUUAACUCCUGGUCUUAAGCAAUUCACCUGCCUCUGCCUCUUAAAAUUCGGGGCAUACAGGCAUGAGCCACUGCACCUGGCCAAGAAGAAAUCUAUUUAACAGGUAAUUACUAAAAAUUGAAAUAGAAUUGGAAUUGGAAUAUUGCUCAUGAGCACUGCUCUUAACAUUGUUUUAAGAGUAAAAAAGGGCUGGACAUGGUGGCUCACACCUGUAAUCCCCACACUUUGGGAGGCUUAAGUAGGCUUGAUCAGUUGAGGUCAGGAGUUCAAGACCAGCUUAGCCAACAUGAAGAAACCCUGCCUCUACUAAAAAUUUAAAAAUUAGCUGAGCAUGGUGGCAGGCACCUGUAAUCCUAGCUACUUGGGAUGCUGAGGCACAAGAAUGGCUUAAACUAGGAGGUGGAGGUUGUAGUGAGCAGAGAUUAUGCCACUGCACUCCAGCCAGGCGACAGAGUGGGACUCUGUCUUAAAAUCAAUAAAUAAAAUUUAAAAAAAAUUUUUUUAAGGGUAAAAAUGAACUCCUUUUUGUCUGUAGUAUGAGGCUGCACAUGAUCUGGGAUCCUCUCUCCUUCUCCAGCCCCAUCUCUUGCUUGUCCUCACUUUCUGUGCUUCUUAUAUACUGAAUUAACCCUAGUUAAUUUUUUUUUUUUUUUUUUUUGUUUUUGUUUUUGAGAUGGAGUUCUGCUCUUGUUGCCCAGGCUGGAGUGCAAUGGUGUGAUCUCGGCUCACUGCAACCUCUGCCUCCCAGGUUCAGGUGUUUCUCCUGCCUCAGCCUCCUCAGUAGCUGGGAUUAUAGGCAUGUGCCACCAUGCCUGGCUAAUUUUUGUAGUUGUUGUUGUUGUUGUUAUUGGUAGAGAUGGGUUUCUCUGUGUUGCUCAAGCUGGUCUUGAACUUCCAACCUCGGGUGGUUUUCCCACCUUGAGGCGUGAGCCACUGCUCAUGGCCAUUAAUUCUGACUCAUUCUGCUUUUCACUGUAAUUCUUAGCAUUAUUAAGUGAAGUUCACAGUCCUUCUCCUAGCAGGUUUUCUCUUAAACUAUGAACUUGAGGUUUCAUAGUAAUUGAACUUGAUGACAUCAGUUGUAUGAAAACUAAAACCAUGAAGUGAAAUAAUAGAAUUUGAAUUAUUUCAGUGAAUAUGUUUGUGUUAAUGGCACUUUAGUAUCUGGUACUCGGCUAAGUUUUAUCAGGGAUAUAGAAAUUCUGGGUAUCUCUUUUUUAUAUAGGCCUUAUUUGAUAGUCACUUUGUGCUGUUUUGUUGCUGUGUUUCCAUUUUGAUGAUGGGAAACGGGAGAAAGACAGUAUAGGUCGUUACUUGGUGGGGUUGAAUAAGUGGAGUGGCGAAAUGCAAAGCAGAGAGAAGAGAGGACAUGUGAUGUGGGCUGUGAUUCUCAUUUUCAAGAAGUCUUAUUCUGUGCAAGGAGACAAGGCACAAUUUGGCUAACAAAAAAUAUAUG